ACUAGUUUGACAGAUUAAUUGUAUCAGAUUUAGAAUUUGAAAAUGGUCUAUCUUAUGCCAAUUAGUA
rnacentral:tRNA from 1 species